GUAUAAGGCGUCGCGAAGCGUUGAGCGUCCCUUGUCCGCUGGCACACGGAAGUUGAGCGGCGGAACGGAUGGGAGUGAUAGAGGUGGAGAUGGAGCUAAGGGGCUUUGCUGGCGGGCGUCCACACACACGCACACGACUGCGAACGGAACCGUGUGCAGGAAAUCGAGAGGGGCUGGAGACGGUGGGCAGCAGCAGCAGCCUCAGCCUGUGAUCGUGUUCAUGGGGAGGGGAGGUGCGUGUGUGUAUUAUGAGUGUUGAAACGUAGGAACAACAUAGAGAUCCUACUGUCCGUCGCUGAGGCCCACCGCUGUCCACCAGCUCCGCCGCUCAUCCACGUCGAGUUCCUCCCUUUCUCUCUCCUCCCUCCGCUGCUCACCUAUCUCUGCGUGUGGCACGUUCUUCCAUGCGCGACUGUGUCUGCGUGUGCGUGUCAGUGUGUGUGGCGAUCUUUUCUCUUGCCAUGGUACAUCGUCAUGUCUCCUCC
rnacentral:misc_RNA from 1 species